GUGCCAGCCGCCGCGGUAAUACGUAGGGUGCGAGCGUUAAUCGGAAUUACUGGGCGUAAAGCGUGCGCAGGCGGCUUUGCAAGACAGAGGUGAAAUCCCCGGGCUCAACCUGGGAACUGCCUUUGUGACUGCAAGGCUAGAGUACGGCAGAGGGGGAUGGAAUUCCGCGUGUAGCAGUGAAAUGCGUAGAUAUGCGGAGGAACACCGAUGGCGAAGGCAAUCCCCUGGGCCUGUACUGACGCUCAUGCACGAAAGCGUGGGGAGCAAACAGGAUUAGAU
rnacentral:rRNA from 1 species